UACGUAGGGGGCAAGCGUUGUCCGGAAUCAUUGGGCGUAAAGAGCGUGUAGGCGGCCCGGUAAGUCCGCUGUGAAAGUCCAGGGCUCAACCCUGGGAUGCCGGUGGAUACUGUCGGGCUCGAGUCCGGAAGAGGAGUGUGGAAUUCCUGGUGUAGCGGUGGAAUGCGCAGAUAUCAGGAGGAACACCAAUAGCGAAGGCAGCUCGCUGGGACGGUACUGACGCUGAGGCGCGAAAGCGUGGGGAGCGAACAGG
rnacentral:rRNA from 1 species